rnacentral:rRNA from 1 species
UACGAAGGGUGCAAGCGUUACUCGGAAUUACUGGGCGUAAAGCGUGCGCAGGCGGUUUUGUAAGCCAGAUGUGAAAGCCCCGGGCUUAACCUGGGAAUGGCAUUUGGGACUGCAAGGCUGGAGUGUGGCAGAGGAGACUGGAAUUCCUGGUGUAGCAGUGAAAUGCGUAGAUAUCAGGAGGAAUACCGAUGGCGAAGGCAGGUCUCUGGGCUGACACUGACGCUCAUGCACGAAAGCGUGGGGAGCAAACAGG